rnacentral:rRNA from 1 species
AUGAACGCUGGCGGCGUGCCUAAUACCUGCAAGUCGCGCGAACAGACGAGGAGCUUGCUCCUCUGACGUUAGCGGCGGACGGGUGAGUAACACGUGGAUAACCUACCUAAAGACUGGGAUAACUUCGGGAAACCGGAGCUAAUACCGGAUAAUAUAUUGAACCGCAUGGUUCAAUAGUGAAAGACGGUUUUGCUGUCACUUAUAGAUGGAUCCGCGCCGCAUUAGCUAGUUGGUAAGGUAACGGCUUACCAAGGCAACGAUGCGUAGCCGACCUGAGAGGGUGAUCGGCCACACUGGAACUGAGACACGGUCCAGACUCCUACGGGAGGCAGCAGUAGGGAAUCUUCCGCAAUGGGCGAAAGCCUGACGGAGCAACGCCGCGUGAGUGAUGAAGGUCUUCGGAUCGUAAAACUCUGUUAUUAGGGAAGAACAAAUGUGUAAGUAACUAUGCACGUCUUGACGGUACCUAAUCAGAAAGCCACGGCUAACUACGUG